rnacentral:rRNA from 1 species
CCUACGGGAGGCAGCAGUGAGGAAUAUUGGUCAAUGGCCGGGAGGCUGAACCAGCCAAGUCGCGUGAGGGAAGACGGCCCUACGGGUUGUAAACCUCUUUUGUCAGGGAGCAAGGUGCAGGUCGGGACCUGCUGUGAGAGUACCUGAAGAAAAAGCAUCGGCUAACUCCGUGCCAGCAGCCGCGGUAAUACGGAGGAUGCGAGCGUUAUCCGGAUUUAUUGGGUUUAAAGGGUGCGCAGGCGGAGGCACAAGUCAGCGGUAAAAUCGCGGGGCUCAACCCCGCUCCGCCGUUGAAACUGUGGCCCUUGAGUGCGCGAAGGGUAGGCGGAAUGCGUGGUGUAGCGGUGAAAUGCAUAGAUAUCACGCAGAACUCCGAUCGCGAAGGCAGCCUACCGGAGCGCAACUGACGCUCAUGCACGAAAGCGUGGGUAUCGAACAGGAUUAGAUACCCUAGUAGUC